GGUGAGCCUUGCCUGGCCUUGCUUGGCUCCUAGCAAAUCAGCAGGUGUCUCCUGCAUCUCUAAGAGCCUUCCUGCACAUGGGCUCAGGAGAGAGUCCCAGGAUGGUGUAUGCUCAUUUGCCUCACUCACUUCCAUCAUGGCCAUGUAAGCAGUGCACAGAAGUGGGGGUGUGCCCAGGCCUCAAAUGUUUGGGCUUGUCCUCUGGUGCUCCUGCCUUCACCAUGAGAUAUGUAUACCUUGUGUGAGUCACAGUUCCACGAUGGAGAGAUACAUGGAGCAGACCUAACCCAAGCCUAGCUGAGUUCAGCCAACCUGCGGACCCAAGAGUGAAAAAAAAGAAAUGUCUCUUGUAAGCCACUGAGAUUUGGGGAUUAUUUGUUACACAGCAGUAUCACAGCCAAGCCUAACUAAUGAGUGUUCAUGGUUUUUUUUAUUGCAUGGAACUGCUCCAGUACUCAAGUCUGAGAUGCUCACUCUGAGGCAUAUCAUCAAGGAAUUGAGAUUUAGUGAGCAGUUUUUUCCCCCUCCAGACUCCUUUCCAUGACCUUUUCCUGGAAUGUGCAUCUCCUACAUUUAUAGGACAAUUAACCACAUGGAAGAAUUUUGCCUCCUCCCCAACAAGCCAUUCCACAGGUGCUCAGACCUGCCUGUCCCUGACAAGGGCUGUUCUUGUUGUGGUCAGACCUCAGCUUCUUGGGGACAAUGAUGAGGCUGGAGCUCAGAGAGAUGGAGGAGCCUCUGAAGCUGCAGUAGCCGGAGCAGAACGCACAGCUGCAGAGCCCUCUGGAAAGAACAGAGAAGAGAAGUGGACGUCGCAGACCUGAACGAGGAUGUUCUCUGUGACGUCAGGUAACGGGGACCCAGUGAUGAAUAGAGAUUCUUCAAGCUGCUCAGAGCCUAGCAGGGGACCUCGAGCCCUAAAGAAGCACAGGCGGAAGGAGGGUCAGUGGGCACAUCUGUGGAGACUGCACCCCUUGUUUCCUGGCACUGGAGGAGAUUAGUGAGGACACCUGGUUUCUUCUCAUUUUGCACAAAGAGAGAGAGAGGCUCAAGGGUUGUGGGCUCAGCGGAGGUCAGGAGCCUGCUGUUCACAACAGGCUUUCCCUGUGAUCAGCCACCGUCAACGCCCAUGCUCCUGCAGGAUCCCAAGGAAGAGCACACGUCGAGACCUCAGCCCUUCAGCUGGAAACCUUUGGGUGGUCUCCCCGGACAGCCAUCAUCAGGUGAACUAGAUGCAGUUUACAAAAACAGUUGGAUUAUGGCAAGACGACAUAAAAAUGACAAAAAAUGAGGCACAGGAGAUGGAAGAAUAGGAGAGAUGAAUGGAGCCAGGUGUGAGCCAAGGCCAAGGAAAGCACAGUAAGUGGCAUGAGUCACAGCCCAAGAAAUAAAAGCGAACAGGAGUGGAGUUGGCACACAUCACACUGUGAGGCCAGGAUGCGAGGACACGGGACGAAGCACAGCGGAAGCAUACCAGUGACACCGAAAUCGUGUCACAUUCUCGGAGUGAUGUUCUUCCUGGAUUCUUCCUUGAAAAGAAGCUUCAUCAGGCCCCAGCUGCUGACCUCAGCGGCACCUGGCACACAUCAGAUGUAAGCACUAAGCAGCAGCUAUGGCGGCAGAACAAACAUUUCCAACUGCCACACACAUCAUACAAGGCCGUGACCUGGGAGUGCUGUGAGAGGAGGGGCUUUGUCACUUCAUGAUUCACCGAUUGUCCAUCCUUCUCUGCUGGAGGACCUUGAAGGACGCACAUGUGUCCAGUUAGGAGGAUGCUCCAGGAAGCCCCCAGGCAGUGCAUGUAAAACUUUCCAUGUGCCUGUGAAACACCUGGACAUGAUGAUUCUGCAUUUCUAACCAACCUCCAGGAAGAAAUGUGUCUUGGCUGGAGGCCCAUGUUUCGUUCCAGCACAUCCUUUUUACCAAAAGAGCCGUCCCUGGAGCUGCCAACAGUGUUUAGGAGAAAGCCAUCCAACAAUACUUUGGAUCUGGGAGCGUGGCCUGACCACGGACGUGGCCUUCCCCGCCCCGAGAACCAUCCAUCGGAAAGCCUGGCACACGGAGGGAGAUGAGUUCUGAGGUGUCAAGAGGAAAUGGCCCUGUACCCAGUUUCACGUCCCGAACGGGGUCCCUGGUGCCUGGGAUGCCAUGUUGCUGAGCAGAUGGCAGUGUCAUGGGUGUGCUUCUGGUGGAGAAAAGAUGGAGAUGAAACUGCACACCCCCUCAUGUUGGCAGCUUUGGAGAGUCUUGGCCAGCUCUUCCAGGGCAGGUGCUGAGAGUUGCAUCAACUCCGUUCUUCCUAGUGGGAAGAUGGAGAAAUAAAUCAACCAAGAUAUUCUUUGACCGAUCACCAUGCCCAUUCAAUGUUCAGAUGCCUAUGCCGAUCAAAUCUCUCCAGAAUAUCCCAGUGCUUGGAUGAUUAAGCAAAGAAACAUCAGGAUAGGAAACCUAAGAUGGAGCCAGAAACAAGGUCAUUGCUGAACUUGUAUGCUGUGAGUUCUACAGUAUUUGAUGGACAUGGAUAUUUGGUCCUCAGCAGCCACUACAGACUGGCAGUCAGUCAAUUUGACUACAAGUGCAACCUCCCUGAUCUCGAGUCUAUCCGAAGCUCUGAUUGUGGCCCAUCUACCCUGCAGCUUGGUUCCUGGUCAGAGGGCAAAGCUUGCCUGGAAGUGAGACUUUGAAAUGACACUUGGCUUGGCUCCCUGAAGGGUUGGGCGGUGCCAGUGAAAGAAGAUGCAUCUUUCUUCAAGUUCUUUGUUGCCUCCAGAAAGUCUGUGUUGAUUAGACACGCUCAUGAGCAAGAAGGAGGAGGAGGUCAGAUCUGUCACCAAAUGCUCUUCAAUAUUCCCCAAAUUACUAACUGUCUUCAAAAGGUACGCGGGCCUCUCACUGUUGUGGCCUCUCCCGUUGCGGAGCACAGGCUCCGGACACGCAGGCUCAGCAGCCAUGGCUCACGGGCCCAGCCGCUCCGCGGCAUGUGGGAUCUUCCUAGACCGGGGCACGAACCCGUGUCCCCUGCAUCGACAGGCGGACUCUCAACCACUGCGCCACCUGGGAAGCCCCGAGGGGUACAGUGAAGCUGGACAGAAAAAGCAGAGCCCAUUGCCGUCUGCCUGUGUACAUGUCUGCAUCCUACAGAGAUGUGAGAGAAAAGGAAGGAAGAGACAUUUUGAAAUGCUAUUUUGAGGGAAAAGCCUCAAAAAUGAAAUGGAGCUGUAGUCAACUAGAAUACAGAUGUGUUAGCUCGCCUGUUCUGGGAUAAGUUAUUUUUUCAGAUGUACAUAAAGCAAUUUAGCCACUCAUAAAUUUGAUGAGUCAAGACAUAAUCCUUUAAAAAGCAAUGUUGGGUAAUUUGCCUGUUAUUUUAUGGAAACCAUUUAGUAACCACAUAAUGUAGGUGAGAGUCGACAGUGUAAAUAUACCUCACACUCCCAAUCAAUGGGGAGUCACUAAGAGAGGAUUCAGGGAGCACCCUGGGGCAACUUCAUGUACCAUGUCUGUGAGUGUACAAAUCUGUGUGCGUGUGCACAUGGAUGUGAAUGUAGGCAUGGAUGAAGGCCGCUUUGUUUGUGUAAAGACAGUUUAUUUUGUCAACAGAAUGAAAAUAAUUUGACAUGGCAAUUCUGGCUCUCCAUGACUGGGAAAAUGUUGGUUUUUGUCUCCAGAAUAAAGUACCUCGGGUCUGGAAAUCUUACAGCUAAUUAAAUAAUUUUUUCAAAUGGACACCAAACAGGACAGUGUCUAUUUUGGGAGCCCAAUUUCUUCCAUGAAUUUCCUACUCCUCCCAAAACCCAUACCCCUGUUGGAAACAUGACUGAGAUGCUCUGCUAGUCCUAUGGAAGUCCCCCCAAUCUAUGUUCUCUGGGCAGAGGAUCAAAUUACCUACCAUGAUCCCUUCUCACUCUCUUCCUCUUAAUAAUAGAACAUUACCCUCACCCUGAGAUUUAGCUGGGAACGUGUACACAUCUACAGAGAUAGAGGUUGAUUACUCAGCCUCCUUAUGGUUUAGCUGUGGCAUGUGGUUAAAUUUUGACCAAGAAAGUGACAAUAGAAGUGAUAUAGGUAAACUUAUGGACUGAGUUCUCUAAUGAAGCUAUGUGUCUUUCUCUCUUUCUUUCCCCCUCCCCUCUGACUAGGAAAUGGUAAUCGAAGCUGCUCCCUUGGACCCAUUGAUGGAAGCUUCAGAUUGAGGAUGGCAGAGGUGCUCAAACUUCCUGAACUGUUGGAUGAGACAGAAAUGAACUUCUCUUUUAUUUAAGCCUCUGGAUUUUGGGUCUCUUUGUUAUACCAACUUUCCUGUAACCUAACUAAAAGAUCUAUAUGCAGGACCAAUUUGUGCCCUAAAAUAUUCUGGUUGACAUCUCCCCCCAAAGCCUAGAUCUACUCCCUGAAGACUAGAGAGAGCUGCAUGAGAGCAGAGCUCAAGACAUUGUGGUUUGUUUAAACUAUGACUCCUUGGAAAGUUAAGAAAUGGAAUUCAUUGCAGUAGCUGGGAGAACAUCACCAAGAAAUUCACCAUUAAAUGUUUUGUUGUUGCUGAUUGUGUAACUUCUGAUUUUGAUAUAAUUUCAAAAUUAUACAAAACUUACAGAUAGGUUGCAAGAGUAGUGCAGGAACAUUUGCAAACCCCCUUUUCGGAUUUACCAACUGUUGUGCCCAUUUUACUUUCUCAUUCUCCUCUAUUGUGUGUGUGUCUACUAAUAUAUUCUUUUUUUCUGAAUUACUUGAGAGUGAGAAGACUGUCUUUAUGAUUUUUUACUUUUUGGAAAAACAUAGCCCAGUUAUUUGUAGAAUGUUCCUCAAACAUGAUUAGAUUUAGGUUGUAUAUUUUGAGCAGGAACGUCAUAGAAGUGAUGCUGUGCCUUCUCAGUGCCUCAUAUCAGAAGUCAAGUGAUGCCCAUUUGUCACUUUGAUCAUCAGGUAAAGGUAUUAUCCACCAGGUUUUUCCAUUGUAAGGUUACUCUUCUUCUCUGUUUAUUUAGUAAAGAAUGUGUGGGCAGAUACUUUGGGGCCAUGUAAAUAUCCUGUUACUCAUCACACUUUUAAACCAGUUUUAACAUCCACUGUUACAUUUUAUAUACUAGGAAUUUUUAACAAAGACUUACUUGAAGAAAGUGCAGGUGCUUAGGACUAUCUACCUUGGAAGAAAGAGACCUGGAGUCUAGUUUCAGCCCAUCAACCCCAGACUUUGAUUUCCUUUUUUGUAAAGUGGAUGGUCAUGUUCUUGGGUGAAAUGACUUCUGUCUGGUUCUCUGAAUCCAAGGAUCUGGCGUUUAUAGACAGGGGUACUCCUGGCAUCUUCAGAAGGAGAGUUCUUUGAGGUGCAAAACUGUCACAUGCUUUGUAGGAUCCUUGGCAUCCCUGGCUGUUGUUUACUAAAAUUCCAGAAGUUUUCUGCCCUGGAGAGGUUUUAAAAUAUGGCUGUUCAUUGUUUGACACCUCUCCUGUCAAGAGGUGAGGCCCAUGUUACCUGUCCCUGAAUCUGGGUGUGCCUGUGCUCAAGUUGGCUGAUACAGUACAGCAAAAGUGACACUGUGUGACUUCUGAGCUUUGGUCCUAAAAUGCCAUGUAACGUCCCCCUUGUUUGCAGGAAGUCUUAAUCUUGGAGGCUUGAGAUAGCAUGUAAGAUGUUGGCUUCCCUGAGGGUGCUACGCUAUAUACAGUUGCUCUGGUCAACAGUCCCAGCUGAGGCCACCUUUGAGUCAUCUUGGCCCAGGUACCAAAUAUGUGAAUGAAGAAGUCUCUACAUGAUUCCGGCCUCCGGUUAUUUGAGAACUUCUCAGCUAUUUGAAUCUUCCUAGCUGAGA